rnacentral:rRNA from 1 species
CCCGUGAAUACCUUACCACUGUUGCUUCGGCGAGGAGCCCCUUCCGGGGGGCGAGUCGCCGGGGACCACAUGAACUUCUUGAUUGUAGAGUUGCGUCUGAGCCUGAAAUAUAAAUCAGUCAAAACUUUCAACAAUGGAUCUCUUGGUUCCGGCAUCGAUGAAGAACGCAGCGAACUGCGAUAAGUAAUGUGAAUUGCAGAAUUCAGUGAAUCAUCGAGUCUUUGAACGCACAUUGCGCCCCCUGGCAUUCCGGGGGGCAUGCCUGUCCGAGCGUCAUUGCUGCCCUUCAAGCCCGGCUUGUGUGUUGGGUCGUCGUCCCCUCCGGGGGACGGGCCCGAAAGGCAGCGGCGGCACCGCGUCCGGUCCUCGAGCGUAUGGGGCUUUGUCACCCGCUCGAUAAGGACCGGCCGGGCGCCAGCCGGCGUCUCCAACCUUUUUUUCUCAGGUUGACCUCGGAUCAGGUAGGGAUACCCGCUGAACUUAAGCAUAUCAAU